UACGUAGGGGGCAAGCGUUGUCCGGAUUUCUUGGGCGUAAAGAGCGUGUAGGCGGCCAAAUAGGUCGGUUGUGAAAACUGGAGGCUUAACCUCCAGACGUCGACCGAAACCAUCUGGCUAGAGUCCGGAAGAGGAGAGUGGAAUUCCUGGUGUAGCGGUGAAAUGCGCAGAUAUCAGGAAGAACACCCGUGGCGAAGGCGGCUCUCUGGGACGGUACUGACGCUGAGACGCGAAAGCGUGGGGAGCGAACAGG
rnacentral:rRNA from 1 species